GAGCUUUUUGAUGGAGGGGAAAUGGCCAUGCUUAUUUCUUUUUUAAACAGUAUAUUUCAGAGUCUGAAGGCCUCAGUUUUCUGGAUCACGCAGUAGCUCUUGAAUCCAGGGUUUUUUUCAAGCUCACACUCUGUGUUACGUAGUCGGUUGGGAUUUUUUUGUGCAGUAAGAAACAGCUCCGCUUGUCUUGGAUUUGGUUGACACAAUGUAAGGGCUUGUGACCAAGGAUGAGCAGGAUCCAGCUAAAUCCAGGUUUUACGUUUUCCCCUCUUAAGAAAGUAAGGCUUCGACGUUUCCUGCCGGGGAAGUGGUGCAGUUUAUCUUUAAGGAGGCUAGAGAAAUAAGAAAUGAGUCUCACGUUGCAUGGGUGACAUCACUGGCUUUUGGCUCAGCGCUCUGUAUUCUCUGUCUGUAGGCUUUAGCCAAGGCUGCAGGGCUCGGUGUUUGAACAAGGAAAGAUUCCCAGGUGUACGGAAGAUUGGAUUCACUCUUAUUUGGGUUAAAAACGGUGAAAUGAGAUUUCUAAAGCUUGGGGACUCCAGCUCGCCUUCUGUUGCACUUGAUCUCUACGAGAUGGAUGGCUAACGUGCCGCCGUGUUAGGCAAACUGUGCACAACACAUCCCAGCGCCGGGGGACGAAGGAAGCCUUUUCAGAUACCAGCGGAAAAAGGGGGUGGUGGUGGUGGAAAAACAAAACGAUGCUGGGGCCGAGGACCGCUUCCAGUGCUGCCUAGCGGGAGGCGGGCGGUCGCGGCGGGUUCCCCCCCCCCGCCGCCUCUCCCGGUACCGGGAGCGGGGAGGGUCGGCGCCGCGCUCGCCGGGAGGGAGAGCCGAAGGAAGGGCCGCCGGGGCGCUCCGGGGAAGGGGCCGUGGCGUUACCGCUGCCUGGAUGACAGCGCAGACGACAAAAGCGGGCGAGUGAACGGCAAGGCUGGCAGAGAGAAGCCGAAGGUGUUUCCGGAGGCGAGAUGUCAGUGACUGUCAGCGAAGUCUGCUAAGGGAGGGAGAGCUGUGCGUGCCUGCGGUUCCACAUCCAGCCGGGGAGGUUGUAUUGUAGCCGCGAUUUAAAACGGCGGCAGCAACAACAACAGAUUGCUUUCCCCCACUCUUGCUCCCUCCCCUUCGACCCCACUUUAAACCCAAGCAAGAGACCCACCGUCCAGAGGAUGAUGCUCUCCCUGAGCCGCUGACAAAAGAAAAGGCAAGUCACCCAUUCCUGAAACCGGGAUACCCGGCUGCUUGCAAGCGGGAGAUCUCUAGCUGUUGAACUUUUCUGUCCUGUGAUGAUGCUGUCGUGAGCCUGCUGAUCUGAAAGCCAUCUCUUCUGGAUUUCCGAGCUGGCCAGAUUGAAAGAGAUUAAUGGACUGAUCAAACAGCCGUAGCUUUCAGCUUCAGGGGAGACAGAAGCCAUCAACCCUUUUUGCUCGGGUGCUUGUGGUGAGGGGAGCAGGACAUCUUUGUAUAGGUGGGUCACUGGCUUGCUCCCGUUCGAGGUGGAAGGCUGUGUUUCUCCUCGUCAGGUCUCCUCCGCAGAGGAGAAGAGGCAGAUGAGACUCCAGGACUGCCUCCAGGGCAGAACUUUGUA
rnacentral:lncRNA from 1 species